rnacentral:lncRNA from 1 species
CGUUUCAGUGCUAUAAAUACUCCUCACCUUUCUCUUUGACAACCAACACACACAGCUCUCACAAUCUAAAACUCUUUGAAUUCUCUCUUUCUCUGCUAUUACUAUAUUGUCUCCUUCUCUUAUUUGAACACUCAAUCAGCUAACAGCCAAGGUUGAGUAACUGGGGUUGAUUACGUUACACUAUUGGGAUCUAUUUGUUUGGCUACAUUGGGUCUAUUGCUGCUAUUACUUCCACAUUGGUGCUGCUAUUUUUAUUCUACCGCUAUUCUCUCUGUUGCUUACACUCUCUGCUCACCUUGUUCCUCUGUGCAUUAUUGCU